rnacentral:rRNA from 1 species
UACGUAGGUGGCAAGCGUUGUCCGGAUUUAUUGGGUUUAAAGGGUGCGUAGGCGGCCCUGUAAGUCAGUGCUGAAAUAUCCCAGCUUAACUGGGAGGGUGGCAUUGAUACUGCGGGGCUAGAGUACAGAUGAGGUAGGCGGAAUUGACGGUGUAGCGGUGAAAUGCUUAUAUAUCGUCAAGAACACCUAUAGCGAAGGCAGCUUACUAGGCUGUAACUGACGCUGAGGCACGAAAGUGUGGGGAUCAAACAGG